UGGAUCGAUGAUGACUAGUAAUGUAUGAGUCAUGGGUGAUGAACAAUACGUGUCUGGAACUCUGAGGUCCUA
ensembl:snoRNA